AUAGCGUAUAUUAAAGUUGUUGCGUUUAAAAAGCUCGUAGUUGGAUCUGCGGCCUAGGAUAGCGGUCCCCCAAUGGGUGGUCACUGCUUUUCCUGGCCUAAUAUCUCCGGUUUUCUCUUGCUGCUCUUAAUUGAGUGGCUUGAGUGGCUGGAAAAUUUACUUUGAAAAAAUUAGAGUGCUUAAAGCAGGCGCAAGCCUGAAUAGUGGUGCAUGGAAUAAUGGAAUAGGACCUCGGUUCUAUUUUGUUGGUUUUCGGAGCUCGAGGUAAUGAUUAAGAGGGACAGACGGGGGCAUUAGUAUUGCGACGUUAGAGGUGAAAUUCUUGGAUCGUCGCAAGACUAACUACUG
rnacentral:rRNA from 1 species